rnacentral:rRNA from 1 species
CUACAUAUCAAUAAGCGGAGGAAAAAGAACUAACCCAGAUUCCCCUAGUAACGGCGAGUGAAGCGGGAACAGCUCAGAUUUGUAAUCUGGCCGUCUUUGGCGGUCCGAGUUGUAAUCUGUAGAAGCGUAUUCCGCGUCGGCCCCUGCCCAAGUCCGUUGGAAUUCGGCGCCAUGGAGGGUGAGAGCCCCGUUGGUGGCAGGGAGAACCGGUGCUUUGCGUUGCGCUUUCUAAGAGUCGUGUUGUUUGGGAAUGCAGCACUAAUGGGUGGUAAAUUCCAUCUAAAGCUAAAUAUCAGCGAGAGACCGAUAGCGAACAAGUACCGUGAGGGAAAGAUGAAAAGCACUUUGGAAAGAGAGUUAAACAGUACGUGAAAUUGUUGAAAGGGAAACGAUUGAAAUCAGUCAUGCCUCUGGGGAUUCAGCCUUCGGGUGUACUUUUCCUUUGGCAGGUCAGCAUCGGUUUCGAGGGCCGGAUAAUGGGUCGGGGAAUGUGGCUCGGCUUCGGUCGGGUGUUAUAGCCCCUUCCUGGAUACGGCUUUUGGGAUCGAGGACCGCGGCGCGCCCUCACGGGCAGGGGGUCCGCCCCUUUCCGCGCCAAGGAUGCUGGCGUAAUGGUUUUAAACGACCCGUCUUGAAACACGGACCAAGGAGUCUAACAUGCCUGCGAGUGUUUGGGUGUCAAACCCGGACGCGCAACGAAAGUGAAUGGAGGUGGGAUCCGAAAGGUGCACCAUCGACCGACCCUGAGCUACUGCGACGGGUUCGAGUAAGAGCAAGUAUGUUGGGACCCGAAAGAUGGUGAACUAUGCCUGAAUAGGGUGAAGCCAGAGGAAACUCUGGUGGAAGCUCGUAGCGGUUCUGACGUGCAAAUCGAUCGUCAAAUUUGGGUAUAGGGGCGAAA